UUUUUUAAUUGAUAACUAGUAUGAAAGGUUGAAUAAAAUAUUAACUGUUUCGUAUAAAUUUUAUUAGAAUUUAAUUUUUUAAUUAAAAAGUUAAGAUUAAAUUAGAGGACGAGAAGACCCUAUAGAAUUUAAUAAAUAAUAUUUAUAAAAUUAUUAAGUUUAUUUAAAUUUUUUAAAAAAUUUUAUUUUAUUGGGGUGAUAUUAUAAUUUAAUAAACUUAUUUUUUAUUAUUAACAUAAAUAUGUGAAUUUAGGAUUUUAUAAUAAAGAUUAAUAGAAUAAUUACCUUAGGGAUAACAGCGUAAUAUUAUUUUUAAGUUCUUAUUUAUAAUAAUGAUUGC
rnacentral:rRNA from 1 species